rnacentral:rRNA from 1 species
AUUCCAGCUCCAAUAGCGUAUAUUAAAGUUGUUGUGGUUAAAAAGCUCGUAGUUGGAUCUCGGCGGACUGAGGGCGGUUUGCUUGCUAGUAUUACUGCCCUAUAGUCCGUAGUUUUGCCAGAGGUUUCGAGGUGCUCUUAAUCGAGUGUCCCGGGAUGCUGGCAGGUUUACCUUGAAAAAAUUAGAGUGCUCAAAGCAGGCUAUUACGCCUGAAUAUUCGUGCAUGGAAUAAUAGAAUAGGAAGUCGUUUCUAUUUUGUUGGUUUUCGGAAAUCGACUUAAUGAUUAAUAGGGACAGUCGGGGGCAUUUGUAUUCAAACGACAGAGGUGAAAUUCUUGGACCGUUUGAAGACAAGCUACUGCGAAAGCAUUUGCCAAGAAUGUUUUCAUUA